rnacentral:rRNA from 1 species
AUAGCGUAUAUUAAAGUUGUUGCAGUUAAAAAGCUCGUAGUUGAAACUGGGCGCGGCUGGCUGGUCCGCCUCACGGCGUGUACUGGUCUCGGCCGUGCUUUCCUCUUGGGCCGCCUGAGAGCGCUUCAUUGUGCGCUCGGGAUGGCUCAGGACUUUUACUUUGAAAAAAUUAGAGUGUUCAAAGCAGGCAUUUGCUCGGAUACAUUAGCAUGGAAUAAUAGAAUAGGACGUCGAUCCUAUUUUGUUGGUUUCUAGGACCAUCGUAAUGAUUAAUAGGGAUAGUCGGGGGCAUCAGUAUUCAAUCGUCAGAGGUGAAAUUCUUGGAUCGAUUGAAGACUAACUACUG